UCUUGGGUCCACUGUCCAGUGUGCUCCAAACAGCAGUGGGGCAGAAACAUGGAGAGGGGUCACAUGGUAUAACCCCUCCCCUGUGGCAAUGGGGCAGCACUCUGUCCAAAUAGGAGGCAACUGUGAUGUAGACAGACACCCCAAAACAUACUCCCUUGCCAGUGUGAUUGCAAGUGCUUAGAAGAGGAGUUGUAACUGUGGAAGAAUGACUGGAGAAAUGCAACCUUGAUAGCUUUCAAGAUCAAGAGGGCAGUGAAUCAGGGCCACUAGAAGCUGGAAACAAAGAAAUAGAUUCUUUCCUGGAGCCUUCCGAAGGGAGCACAGCCCUGACAACACUGUGAGGUUAGCCCCCGGAGAACCAGGUCACGCUGCUAACCUACAGGACUGCGAGGCGUGACGGAGGUCCUGAUGUUCAAGCCACACCCCGCCCUGUCUGAACCACCUGGACACCCAAUUUUAACAUGAGGGAAAUGAGGAAUACGAAUCGUCCUGGCCACUGCAGCACAGACCCCGCCGUGCUUGCCUGCAGCUCAGGGAUGUUUGCAUGAAAAAACACUUCUCAAUA